rnacentral:rRNA from 1 species
UACGUAGGGGGCAAGCGUUGUCCGGAAUUAUUGGGCGUAAAGAGCGUGUAGGCGGCUUGUUAAGUCUUGCGUGAAAUCUCGGGGCUCAACCCCGAGCGGUCGUGAGAAACUGGUAGGCUAGAGUGCGGGAGAGGAGAGUGGAAUUCCUGGUGUAGCGGUGAAAUGCGCAGAUAUCAGGAAGAACACCCGUGGCGAAGGCGGCUCUCUGGAACGCAACUGACGCUGAGACGCGAAAGCGUGGGGAGCAAACAGG